rnacentral:rRNA from 1 species
GAUGAGCGCUGGCGGCGUGCCUAAUACAUGCAAGUCGAGCGAACAGACGAGGAGCUUGCUCCUCUGACGUUAGCGGCGGACGGGUGGGUAACACGUGGAUAACCUACCUAUAAGACUGGGAUAACUUCGGGAAACCGGAGCUAAUACCGGAUAAUAUAUUGAACCGCAUGGUUCAAUAGUGAAAGACGGUUUUGCUGUCACUUAUAGAUGGAUCCGCGCCGCAUUAGCUAGUUGGUAAGGUAACGGCUUACCAAGGCAACGAUGCGUAGCCGACCUGAGAGGGUGAUCGGCCACACUGGAACUGAGACACGGUCCAGACUCCUACGGGAGGCAGCAGUAGGGAAUCUUCCGCAAUGGGCGAAAGCUUGACGGAGCAACGCCGCGUGAGUGAUGAAGGUCUUCGGAUCGUAAAACUCUGUUAUUAGGGAAGAACAAAUGUGUAAGUAACUAUGCACGUCUUGACGGUACCUAAUCAGAAAGCCACGGCUAACUACGUG